CGGACGGGUGAGUAAUGCUUGGGAAUCUAGCUUAUGGAGGGGGAUAACUACGGGAAACUGUAGCUAAUACCGCGUAAUAUCGAAAGAUUAAAGUGUGGGACCUUCGGGCCACAUGCCAUAGGAUGAGCCCAAGUGGGAUUAGGUAGUUGGUGAGGUAAAGGCUCACCAAGCCGACGAUCUCUAGCUGGUCUGAGAGGAUGACCAGCCACACUGGGACUGAGACGCGGCCCAG
rnacentral:rRNA from 1 species